UUGGCAACCAAGUAGUUGGUGACUAAUGGAAUGUUAGUAUAAAGAACGAUACAUGUAUUUUGGUGUAACUAAGGCAAAGGGGGAAAGGUGAAAAAAAGUUAAAAGCACAACGAACAAAGAAAAAAGAUAAGAAAUGGCACAUCUCCCACAAUGGAUCUUUUGCCAAUAAGCCUUUGCUAUAUGCGUUUUCAUUGUUUUUUAUACAUUGCCUCUCAAACACUCUGUUGCCGAGAAAAAAUUUUAGUCCUUCAACCAAAUCUCCUUCUCAAAACCCAAACACCCUGCCAUUU